rnacentral:rRNA from 1 species
UUGACUUAGUUGCGGACGGGUGAGUAACGUGUGAGUAACCUACCUUUAUGAGGGGGACAACAUUGGGAAACCGAUGCUAAUACCGCAUAAGGCCACGGAUUCGAGUGAAUCAGUGGUAAAAGAUUUAUCGCAUAAAGAUGGACUCGCAUCCCAUUAGCUAGUUGGUGAGGUAACGGCUCACCAAGGCGACGAUGGGUAGCCGACCUGAGAGGGUGAUCGGCCACACUGGAACUGAGACACGGUCCAGACUCCUACGGGAGGCAGCAGUAGGGGAAUAUUGGGCAAUGGGCGCAAGCCUGACCCAGCAACGCCGCGUGAGGGAAGAAUGUCUUCGGAUUGUAAACCUCUGUCCUUGGGGACGAAAAAAAUGACGGUACCCAAGGCAGGAAGCUCCGGCUAACUACGUGCCAGCAGCCGCGGUAAUACGUAGGGAGCAAGCGU